rnacentral:rRNA from 1 species
CAGUCGCCGCGGGAAUACGUAGGUCCCGAGCGUUGUCCGGAUUUAUUGGGCGCAAAGCGAGCGCAGGCGGUUAGAUAAGUCUGAAGUUAAAGGCUGUGGCUUAACCAUAGUACGCUUUGGAAACUGUUUAACUUGAGUGCAAGAGGGGAGAGUGGAAUUCCAUGUGUAGCGGUGAAAUGCGUAGAUAUAUGGAGGAACACCGGUGGCGAAAGCGGCUCUCUGGCUUGUAACUGACGCUGAGGCUCGAAAGCGUGGGGAGCAAACAGGAUUAGAUACCCCCGUAGUCCCUGUCUCUUAUACC